CGUGUAGGCGGUUUGAUAAGUCAGGUGUGAAAUCCCGCAGCUCAACUGCGGAACUGCGCUUGAAACUAUUUGACUAGAGUACGGUAGAGGGUGAUGGAAUUCCUAGUGUAGUGGUGAAAUACGUAGAUAUUAGGAGGAACACCGGUGGCGAAGGCGGUCACCUGGACCUGUACUGACGCUGAGACGCGAAAGCGAAAGGGGGAGACAAACA
rnacentral:rRNA from 1 species